rnacentral:tRNA from 1 species
GGUCCAUUGGGGCAGUGGUUUAUCUCGCCUCCCUGUACGGGAGGAGAUGGCGGGUUAAAACCCCGAAGGGCCC